UGAGCAAUCUGCCCUUCUCAUCGGAAUAAGCGUUGGAAACGACGUCUAAUGCCGAAUACGACCUCCUUUCACAUGAUCGGAGGUGGAAAGCUCCGGCGGAGAAGGAUGAGCUCGCGGCCUAUCAGCUAGUUGGUGUGGGUAACGGCCCACCAAGGCGACGACGGGUAGCCGGCCUGAGAGGGUGACCCGGCCACACUGGGACUGAGACACGGCCCAGACUCCUACGGGAGGNAGCG
rnacentral:rRNA from 1 species